GACGAACGCUGGCGGCGUGCUUAACACAUGCAAGUCGAACGGAAAGGCCCUGCUUUUGUGGGGUGCUCGAGUGGCGAACGGGUGAGUAACACGUGAGUAACCUGCCCUUGACUUUGGGAUAACUUCAGGAAACUGGGGCUAAUACCGGAUAGGAGCUCCUGCUGCAUGGUGGGGGUUGGAAAGUUUCGGCGGUUGGGGAUGGACUCGCGGCUUAUCAGCUUGUUGGUGGGGUAGUGGCUUACCAAGGCUUUGACGGGUAGCCGGCCUGAGAGGGUGACCGGCCACAUUGGGACUGCGAUACGGACCAGACGCCUACGGGAGGCAGCAGUGGGGAAUAUUGCACAAUGGGCGGAAGCAUGAUGCAGCAACGCCGCGUGCGGGAUGACGGCCUUCGGGUUGUAAACCGCUUUCGCCUGUGACGAAGCGUGAGUGACGGUAAUGGGUAAAGAAGCCCCGGCUAACUACGUG
rnacentral:rRNA from 1 species